rnacentral:lncRNA from 1 species
UGUAGCUCCUUUUUUGGACUCCCGGCGUUCGCUUGCGUUCCGUCUGCAUUUCGACACGGCACCGCUGCACUACUCGACUACAGCAAGCUGAUGGCAUCCGGUGGAGCUUCGUACGGCAACGACUGCUGCUUGCCUGGUGCCACAACUUUGGAUGAAUGCACAAGAAGCCCGGAACCAGCAUUUAUAUAGAGCGAAAUAAACAGUUCAUCAUUUCAGAA